rnacentral:rRNA from 1 species
UGGGGAAUAUUGGACAAUGGGCGCAAGCCUGAUCCAGCCAUGCCGCGUGAGUGAUGAAGGCCUUAGGGUUGUAAAGCUCUUUCGGCGGGGACGAUAAUGACGGUACCCGCAGAAGAAGCCCCGGCUAACUUCGUGCCAGCAGCCGCGGUAAUACGAAGGGGGCUAGCGUUGCUCGGAAUCACUGGGCGUAAAGGGCGCGUAGGCGGACAUUUAAGUCGGGGGUGAAAGCCCAGGGCUCAACCCUGGAAUUGCCUCCGAUACUGGGUGUCUCGAGACCGGAAGAGGUGAGUGGAACUGCGAGUGUAGAGGUGAAAUUCGUAGAUAUUCGCAAGAACACCAGUGGCGAAAGGCGGCUCACUGGUCCGGUUCUGACGCUGAGGCGCGAAAAGCGUGGGGAGCAAAACAGGAUUAGAUACCCUGGUAGUCCACGCCGUAAAACGAUGGAUGCUAGCCGUUGGCAGGCUUGCCUGUCAGUGGCGCAGCUAACGCUUUAAGCAUCCCGCCUGGGGAGUACGGCCGCAAGGUU